GUUAAAGCAUUGAUCAAGAGAGUAGGCUGCUGAUCUGUUUCAGAAAGAGAAUGGUAAAUGGAAAAUUCUCACAGAUGGUUGUUCGAAAGUAACUUGAGAGCUGUUCAUUCGAUUUACGAAGAGAAUGAGCCGGUACUAUCUGACCGUUAUCAGGAUACUGAGUGGGGCUCAUUGCCCAAUUUAGGUGGUACCGCGAACACUUCGUCCUAAUA
rnacentral:ncRNA from 1 species